rnacentral:snRNA from 1 species
GUCCCCUUCGGGGUGACAUGCGAAAAAAUUGGAACGAUACAAAGAAGAUUAACAUGGCCCCUGCACAAGGAUUUGUUUUUCUUAUUUUAAUCAAUUUCAAAUUUAA